GAGAAGAGAAGAGAAGAGAAGAGAAGAGAAGAGAAGAGAAGAGAAGAGAAGAGAAGAGAAGAGAAGAGAAGAGAAGAGAAGAGAAGAGAAGAGAAGAGAAGAGAAGAGGGCAUGGACUGGCAGCAUGAAUGCAGGGAUGAUGUGCAGGGAAAGCACCCCAGGUGUUGCAGGUGAGAGCCUUUUAAACAGCUCCUGGCAGGGUGCCUUAGAGCAGUGGAGGAAGAGGAAAUCUGAGCUGGAUCACCCCAUCAGAAACUGUGUGGUGAUAAGAGGAGGCUGCAUUACACCCUGAAGGUAUCACAGAAGGAAACUCACGGGCAAUAAGUGCUUAAAACUCAGGCAUCAAGAGGCUGCCACAAGAAAAUAUUGCUGGUUACAGAGCAUAUGUCGUUUAUCUAGACUGCAAGCUCUCACUGUUCAGAUGUGUUUGAGUUUCCUUUGUAUCCACUUUGAGCUUCUGCUUUUUUCCCACUAAAAUGUCUUUGGGAAGUGGAACCUAUUGGUUGAAAUGCAUCUUCCCUGUUAAUCAGCAGAACUCUGAGUGGCAGGCUCAUGUGCUGUCACUGAGAAGGAUUGAAUAUCACAGUUGCUUCAUCCACAGAAAAAACCCUGAUUUUUGGUCUUGUCAAAGAUCUGGAGGAGUUGAGGCAAUUGGCUUUCAGCUUUGCUUCCAAUGGAAACAAAGAUGCACAGAGGUUAUUCCUUCCACAUUUAAUUUGAAAUCCAUCCUGCAUUUUUCCUCUGUGCCUCUGAAUUCUCUGUCAGCACGCAGCAAGUGAACUGGAGGAAAGGUGAUGAAAUAGAAAAUGCAUCUGAGUGAGAAAAUGGGCAGAGAGACAGAGAGUGUCUGCAGACGGUGUAAAAAACUGACUAUUUUCAUUGGGAGGUAGGUUUCAAUGCUGUUUGGAAAAAAAUAGAGAGAGUAGAAAGUGAAAAUUGCUUUGUAAGGAGGCUGAAACACGGCUGUGAACAUCUAAAACACAGAAUCAAGAAGCUUCUGAAUUAAGCAUCAAGAGCAAAUACUUGCUGAAGGAAAAAUGAAUCCAAUAAAAGCCCAGGAUGUGAUACUGUGUGACACAGGAACCUGGCAGCUGUGCUCUGGGCAGUCUAAAACUCUCCUGGACUUGGACAGGUAUUGAUAUUUCUGAAAAAGUGCCAGCCACUACCUUGAGUAAUUUCAAUAAAUAUAUGUCCAGCAAUUCAAGAAGAAAGAAGAGCUGAAGUAAAUCCACCACCACCCUGCUGCCAGCUGGUUCCCUGCUUCACACCCUCCACCACCAAAAAUAAGUUAUCUAUGGAGCUCUGGGAUGCUUGCUAGGAAGAUAUAAAAUAUAGAGUGCACAGCUGGGACCUCCAGCUCCAUCCUCUGAUCUUCACAGAAUAUCCUGUGGUGGAAGGGUCCAUCAGGACCAUGGAGUCCAGCUCCUGGCACAGGACACUUCAGGAGUGCCAUCAUGUGAGAGCAUUGUCCAAAGGCUCCUGGAGCUCUGGCAGGUGGAGAUCCAUACUGGUUCCAAGGCUGGGAGGAAAAGCUGGGUGUCCCUAAAAUCACUGUGCCUCUGCUGGCCUGUUGGGUGUGAUGGCUGCAUCCCCUGAUGCUGUUCAGGAAAGGUGAAAAUAUAAAUAUUUCUACUGUUUUUGUUUGUGCUAGUUCACUUUGACCACUCAUCUUACAGCAGUGGAACACCAUGAAAUGCUGCUAAUUUAUAUCAGCCCAGCAAGAAAUUAUUUAUUUUAUUCAGAAAUUAAUAUUGGAUGUUCUUGCUAAACCUGAAGCUCUACAUGUCUGAGGAGUUAAAAGUUCAAGAUGACAAUGUAAAUCUCAGCAUUGAUUCCAGCCCUCCUUACUCUAACUUGAAGGAGUGAAUGGUACCAAUAAGGAGCAUAACACCAGUAACCAGCUGCUGGACAAUCAGCAUCUAAAGGACUCUGCACCUUUUGAGAACCACUGGAUGGACAUUUCUGCUGCAUGCUGAAAAUUACGUGAUAAAAGCUGAGAGUCUCAGGUCCUUUCUGCUCUUCCUAUCAAAAUAAGGGUCUUUUAAAAAGGAAAAGGAAGAACUGAGCUAUAAUAAAGGUAUUUGUGGGCAUUUGUCACAGGAGCCUCAGUGUGGGUGAUCCUGCUGUGGUGAGAAGAAUAAAGCAAAAGGAGCUGCUUGACAUGAUGUUUCCUGUCCAUGUCUGAUGAAGUGUGUUCUACCAGGGGCCAUCCAGCCCAAACCUCACCAGCUAUUUGUGCUGUAUCUAGUACAGAUCCUUGGGGGGUGGGAAAAUCAGAACAGAGCAAAUAUAGCCUCAGAGAAGGAGCAGUUGGAGCUUGCAGACAAUGUGGAGCAUUUCUUCAGAGCAGCAAAGCUUGGGCUUGGGACUGAAACCUAAAGGUAACAACUGAAAUUAUUUUAGUGUUGUUUUUUCACAGAAACUUCCCUGAGGCCCCAAACACUUUUUAUUCCUUCCCCUGUGCCAGAAGCACCAAUUCAUUCCCACACAGGAUUCAAAUUCUGCAGCUGCUCCCUCAAUAACUUUCACAAUGCAGUUAGUUAUUGCUAAUACAAAAAAUCUAUAGCACACUAUAAAGUGGAAAUAUAAUACAAUAGAUUUAGGGCCUGGGUUCCUCUCUGAAGACUUAAGGAAGCCAUACAGGAACUGUGCAGGGUUUGUAUGGCAAAUUUAAAAUUUCCUGAUGGAAAAGCAUCAACAUAAAUUGUUUUAUGACAUCUUCCUCUCCACGGAGGGAGCAACCUGAAUUGGUGGGGGAAGGAAAAUGAGAGGCAGGACAUGGGCCCAGACUGCCCCUGGAGACCCACUGGGCUCACAAUGGGAGGAUGCUCCUGGAUCUGGGCUCCUCCUCAGCUCCUGCAGCAACAACAUCUUUAGAUCACCCUGAAUAUCGAAAUGGAAAAUAUGGAUGAUGUGCAGUGUCUGUUACUGAGCUUCAAAAUUUCCUUUAACUGCUACCAAAUUGCUGCUUCACUGGGAACUUUAAUAGACAGAGCCAGCCCCAGCUAUGAUGAAGUGUGACAGGUUCUCUUUCUUCGCCUAUAAAAUUCUUAAUGGUAGAUAAUCAGAAACUUUUUACUGAGAAAUCUUCUUCACUGUUACUUUCCAUUUCAGUUAUUUAAAGUAGGAUUCUUCUUUCGCAUUUAACUCUGGGUUAUGUAAUUUAUCCUGAUGGAACACAGAGCAGAACUUCAUCUUAUGGAGGAUGGGAAAAAAAGUACAUCUGCACCUAUAAGUUAUAUUUCUAAUUAUUGCAACAGUUCAGGGACCUGUUGUUUAAACAAUUUUUUACAUAGCAUUUUGAAGUAAUCUCACUCAAAAUACCUGGUUCUGCCAUUUAUUUUCUGUUUGUUAGACUGAUGUCAGUUCCAAAAGCAAAACCAAGAAUUUUUAGAUUUUUAUUUUAAAAGACAUUUACUUGUGGCUGUUCAAUCAAUGCACAUCUCCUGUUGUCACAUUCAGUUAUAAAACCACAGUAUUUUGAUAUAAAAUCACAAAAUGUUGUGCUGUUUUCAAAAUGCAGCUUGUCUUAAUUUAUUAAAUGUUAUUUAUCAAUUAUUUAUUUAUUAAACAGUUAAAUAUGGGCUGUGUAUAGUGGUGUCAUGGUUUCAGCCCAGCAGCUGCUCAGUCAGGAGCCCUCUUCUUUGAAUUCCUUAAACAUCCUGGACCCAUCAGGCCAUGAAAAACCACCACAAGUAGAAAUAAAAGUUCUGACUCCAGAACCUUGAUGUAUUUGAAAUUAUAUGCCUGUUGUCAACCUGGGUUUUUUCAUUCCUUAAUGAGUCCAUAUAUUGUUGUCUAUUGUUCUUCAUCUUCCCGUAAGGGAAAAACAGAGGCAAUUAUAACUUAAUAACAUUCUCUGUGCUAAGAAUGUGCGGUGACAGAUAAUGAAGUCCAAUAUCCCGAUCUGAUUACAAGCUGCUCUUUAGAUGGGGGACAAAUAACUACAAGAUGGCAAUGUCAGAGCAAGGAACACUUACACGAUGAAAUAUUAAUGAAAAUACAUUGCACUUAUGUCUCAAUGACAUCUAAAUGGGAAUCAGUUAUCAGAUCUUGAGUGUUUGCUACAAAUUUCUACUCUGCAAAAGAAAAAAAAAAAUCCAAUGAACUUUAAAAAUGUCAGCCAGCAGGGCUUUCAAAUACAUAAUUUACUAGUUUGUUGGCUUCCUAUAAAUGGAUAAUAAUAAACUCGUAGCUAAAAGCAAGCUCAUAAAUGCUGAAUCAAAAAUGGGAAGAACACCAUGAAAUGAUAGAUGCAGAGCUGCAUGGUGGUAAUUUUCUUCUAAGGAGAAAUUGUAGCUGUGCUGUUAAAGCUGUGAAUGGAAACCUUGACAGAGCAAUGUUUCCUUCCACACAGAAGGAUCUGUGCCACUGUUUCUGCAUUGUGCAGAAAUACAGGAGCAACAGUGCUGGAAUUGCAGCUGAAGUUUGAUGGACUUCCCUGAGCAUUAUAUUUUCAUAGCCUGCCUAGUUAGGCUCGCCUCAUUGAUACACUCUCAUACUUAUUUAUUUAAACAUAUGAAAAAUAGACUGUUCUAUUAAUCAGGGGGCAGAAUGAGGUCAUUUCUCAUGGAGAAGUUUUAAUCUUAGUCAAAAAUUGACCUAUGUGUUCUAUGUUAAAAAGGCAUAUAUUAUUGAAUGGUAUUAAUAGAACCUUUAAUGUUAAAAUAUUUGAUACCAGCCAAAAUUAGAUUCUAUUUUAAGCCAGUACUCUGGGCUGAGUGGUGAUGAAAGCCUCUCAUUUUUUGGUUUGGUUUCAGUAGCAGCCAGGCUGGAGUUGAAAGGCUCAGUUUUGCUGCUCAGGCUGGUCGUGGUGCCUGACACUACAGCCUCUUCUCCAUGGAGCACCUUCUCCCUUGCUGGGUGCAGUCUGCUCAGCCAGGAGGGGACACUUGACCUGGGCAGAGCAGGGAAAGGAAGAAAGCUUCAAAGUGCUCAGGUCAUGGGGACUGUUCAGUCUUUCAUUUGCAUGUUUUCAUUUGUGAUGCCAUCACGGGGCCCCUGGCACAGAGGCUUUGGGCUCGAGUACAACUUCAGCAAAGCCCUGCCGAGGUUGGAGGGCUGGGAGCAGCCACACAGGCCCUGCUCAGCUCCUGUGGAAGGAUUCCUGGAAUUGGGUGGGGAGAUUCCCAGCCUCAUCCCUUCUGUAAAUGUUUCCAUAAAUGACUUAGGAUGGGUACUCACAGCCAUGCUGAGACAUUUUGGUACAGCACAGAUUCAGAUAGAAAAGAUUAAGAAAUUCUUUCUUCAAAUGUUUAUAUUGCAUCAUAACAAGGAAAAAAAAAAACCUCAACUAAAUGUUUGGCACAGACAUUCAAGUAAAUUGCAUUUAUGUAGAAUAAAUCUAGGAAGUGUAAAACUAAUUGAUAAUUAGACCAAUUUUUACAGGUUUAUUUUUCUUAAAAAAAAUUAAAUCCUAAAGCUGAGACAUUUAGUCUUAAAAAAAGGAACUCACUUAAUUAAAGCACUGCUAUAACAAUGAUUUAAUUGGAUUUCUUUUCUGUUCUCAUUAAAAUCUUUGUCAUAAGAACGAGCCCCAGCAUUGUGGAAUAUUAAUAUGGGAUAUAUUCUUACUCACACUACCUAAUCUCAUGGUAGAUCUUACACCUGAAAAAUAAUGUUUAGUUUAAGCAUUAAACACCUUCAACUUACUUAUCCUAGCUUUAAAAAAAAUUAUUCAAGUAUCUAGCAGUGUGCUAAAUAUCUUACCUGUGGUCUAGCACCUGAAUGAGCCUGGCUGGGAGAAGAUGAUCUGCACAGGUUCCUUCCAGCCUCAACAUUUACGAGAUUCUGUGCCAUCCAUCCUGCAGUGCUGGGUGAAGAGAUCCAGGUAAAAGCCAUGCAGGGUGAAGGAGAGCAAGCUGGCCAGAGAAGGGUUCCCAAGCUGAGCUGUAUUUUUGGAGAAUCCUGAGCACAGCACCCAGCACUUUCUGAGUUUUUUGGAACCAUUAACAGACUUCAAAAUAAAUUCCUUAAGUGCCCAUUUUGCUGUGUGAACUGAUGAACUGUCAAAUAUCUGUUUCUGGUGUGGUACUAGGGAGUUUGCAGGAGGCACCUCGAUCUGCUCGUGUCCCAUGAUUCAUUUAUUUCCAAGUGGAAAACAGAACAGAAGUGUUUUUGUAAGGAUCAUUAGGCAAUUCCUCCUGCUCCCCACCAGGAUCCCCACAGAUUCCCCAGGGCUCCACGGAUCCUCCUGGACUGUCAAACCCUGAACCCAGCCAGGCAGCAGGGGCAUGGUGGCAAUCCACAGGAAGUACAAUAAAUUAAUAAAUUUGGCUGGGAGCAGCAGAGGUGCAGUUAGACUUUGGAAUCCAUCCUGUGAACUACAUUUACAUUCAACAGGACCUUUCUCUAUUAAAGCUUGACUGCGCUGAGUUUGGACUGGGUUUGUAGUUUUGCCUGGAAGAAGCAAGGCACACAAUCAAUCUUGUGCAAAACCUGUUAGUGGAACAGCACUGUGAAACCAGAGAUUCCUGGGAUUUGCAUGCUGCAGUGCCUUUGCUGAGCUCUAACCAGUGGC